AGGAUCGGCAGCUAUACAUGCAGUCGAACGAUAUUUUCCAGCUUGCUGGAAGAGAAAGUGGCGCACGGGUGCGUAACGCGUAUGCAACCUACCUUCAUCAGGGGGAUAGCCCGGAGAAAUCCGGAUUAAUACCGCAUAAAAUCACAGGAUGGCAUUAUCCAAUGAUCAAACAUUUAUGGGAUGGAGAUGGGCAUGCGUGUCAUUAGCUAGUUGGCGGGGUAACGGCCCACCAAGGCGACGAUGACUAGGGGAUCUGAGAGGAUGGCCCCCCACACUGGUACUGAGACACGGACCAGACUCCUACGGGAGGCAGCAGUAAGGAAUAUUGGUCAAUGGAGGCAACUCUGAACCAGCCAUGCCGCGUGCAGGAAGACUGCCCUAUGGGUUGUAAACUGCUUUUAUCCGGGAAUAAACCUCAUUACGUGUAAUGAGCUGAAUGUACCGGAAGAAUAAGGAUCGGCUAACUCCGUGCCAGCAGCCGCGGUAAUACGGAGGAUCCAAGCGUUAUCCGGAUUUAUUGGGUUUAAAGGGUGCGUAGGCGGCCUGUUAAGUCAGGGGUGAAAGACGGUAGCUCAACUAUCGCAGUGCCCUUGAUACUGAUGGGCUUGAAUGGACUAGAGGUAGGCGGAAUGAGACAAGUAGCGGUGAAAUGCAUAGAUAUGUCUCAGAACACCGAUUGCGAAGGCAGCUUACUAUGGUCUUAUUGACGCUGAGGCACGAAAGCGUGGGGAUCAAACAGGAUUAGAUACCCUGGUAGUCCACGCCCUAAACGAUGAACACUCGCUGUUGGCGAUACACAGUCAGCGGCUAAGCGAAAGCGUUAAGUGUUCCACCUGGGGAGUACGCCCGCAAGGGUGAAACUCAAAGGAAUUGACGGGGGCCCGCACAAGCGGAAGAACAUGUGGUUUAAUUCGAUGAUACGCGAGGAACCUUACCCGGGCUUGAAAGUUAGUGAAUGAUCUAGAGAUAGAUCAGUCCGCAAGGACACGAAACUAGGUGCUGCAUGGCUGUCGUCAGCUCGUGCCGUGAGGUGUUGGGUUAAGUCCCGCA
rnacentral:rRNA from 1 species